GAGGAAACGUACCUCCAAACUAAAACAUGCUCAACUUAGACUUCUUCUAAACUGUAUUUUAAUGUGACUCAGGCUUUGAAAGAAAGUUUAUAGACUUGUUCUUCAAGUCUCUUGAUGUUCCCAGGGAGAUCUUUUUCAUAGGCAAUAAUGGGCAGUCAAAAAGGAGAAGAGAGAGCUAGGGCUGGUGAUACACACGAUCUGAGCACUUGAGAGGAAGAGUCAGAGGACAAGUUCGUGGGCAGCCUGAGCUAUGUAGUGAGUCUUCCUUGAAAAUAAAGUGAAAUUUAAAAAAAAAAAAGGAAGGAGCAAGGAAAGGAAGAGAGGGGUGUAGGAAGGGAGGAAGGAAAGAAGAAAGCGGGAAAAGACAACAUAAAAGAACUAAUUUAGUUUUCAGACCAAUAGUUAUUCAAAGUUCAAUUUGACAGACAGACCUUCACAAGGCUGCUUAGCUCAGUUGAGGGCAUUCUCCUGCCUCCAGGAAGCUCCCAACUAGAGGUGGUCACAAGCCACUGUCUCUUGAUUAAUCCCAUUUGUUGGUUAUUUUACUUAUUGAGAUUCAUUUCCAUUAUCUUGGGUACCGAUCUGAUCUAUGUUUCAUCCUGGUUCAUAGUGUUUAAAUUGGUGAGAGAAGAAACAGAAGGAAGGAGAGAAAGGAGUGAGAGGAGGGAAGGAGAAGGCAGGAAAGGAAGAAGGAGGAAGGGAGGAGAGAUAAGGAAGGAAGGUGAUAAGGAAGGGAGCUACUACUACUACAGCACUGCUACUCAGCCCUCCAGGCCUGUCUGGACAGUCUUCCUUCCAUGUUAGGGUCUGUCAAAAUCCCCCAGGAUUUUAUCAGUUUUGUUUCUGUAAAGAGCUGUGUUGCGUAGGUAACUGAUGCAUAUCUGGUAGGUUGCUUCUUGUGCUGUUAUAAUUUCUUACUAUAACUGCAAUUCAAAAUUACAUGUCUGGCUUUAAUAUACUGGGUUUAUCCUAUUUUAAUUUUCUUCUUUUAAUGUCACUUUGUUUCAUCACAAAGCUACCUUUACUUUGUGUGGGUUCCUCUUUUUUCUUCCUUUUAUAAAAAAAAUCCAAUAAAAAGUCAAAAGU
rnacentral:lncRNA from 1 species